GACGAACGCUGGCGGCGUGCCUAAUACAUGCAAGUCGAACGCUUCUUUCCUCCCGAGUGCUUGCACUCAAUUGGAAAGAGGAGUGGCGGACGGGUGAGUAACACGGGGGUAACCUACCCAUCAGAGGGGGAUAACACUUGGAAACAGGUGCUAAUACCGCAUAACAGUUUAUGCCGCAUGGCAUAAGAGUGAAAGGCGCUUUCGGGUGUCGCUGAUGGAUGGACCCGCGGUGCAUUAGCUAGUUGGUGAGGUAACGGCUCACCAAGGCCACGAUGCAUAGCCGACCUGAGAGGGUGAUCGGCCACACUGGGACUGAGACACGGCCCAGACUCCUACGGGAGGCAGCAGUAGGGAAUCUUCGGCAAUGGACGAAAGUCUGACCGAGCAACGCCGCGUGAGUGAAGAAGGUUUUCGGAUCGUAAAACUCUGUUGUUAGAGAAGAACAAGGACGUUAGUAACUGAACGUCCCCUGACGGUAUCUAACCAGAAAGACACGGCUAACUACGUG
rnacentral:rRNA from 1 species